AACGAACGCUGGCGGCAGGCUUAACACAUGCAAGUCGAGCGCACCGCAAGGUGAGCGGCAGACGGGUGAGUAACGCGUGGGAAUCUACCCAGUUCUGCGGAAUAACACAGGGAAACUCGAGCUAAUACCGCAUACGCCUACGGGGAAGGACGUCGGCCGCUAUUGGAUGAGCCCGCGUCAGAUUAGCUAGUUGGUAGGGUAAGUGGCCUACCAAGGCGACGAUCUGUAGCUGGUCUGAGAGGACGAACAGCCACACUGGGACUGAGACACGGCCCAGACUCCUACGGGAGGCAGCAGUGGGGAAUAUUGGACAAU
rnacentral:rRNA from 1 species